CUGAGCUACCAAAAAUCUUAGUAUUGAACAGUUAUUCUGUCUUUUUUAAUCAAGAUUUUUACCAUUUUUAUCAAAUGGAAGAAAUCAUAUUAGAGCUUUGGUGCGAGAAGUUACUAUUUUCCUUCGUGCCUUUGUAAGUGCGACAAGAAUUCAUAUCGAACUAUCAUGAGCAACUGUAGCAGCUUCAUGUCGAUUUUGAAUGCGUCUUCUGUUCGGCUUUUUCAAAUAGUAGCCAAGUGUGAAUAUCGAAUAUGACAAACUAUAAAGCAGGAGACAAAGCAGUUCAAAAAUGCAUUAGGAGAUGCCUAGCAGACUUCCUACUUCCUGCCUCAACGGUUCUUGAGAUUAAAGUUGAUCUGCUUUAAGAAUGUUAAAGGAACUUCCAAGAACUCCUGAACACUCCAAUUCUCUCCAUCGACCUUAAAUGACUGUCUUGGCAAUGCUGGGUAUCCAUAUGCUCAAACAAUCGAUAAUAUCUAUGAAUAACAUGUUUAAUGCUGGAAAGAGCAGUGGAAAUAUCUAAACGAAAAUGAAGUAGAGGUCUAUCUUACUUCCAGCUGGUCUUGAUGUCAGACAACUUAUCCUCCAAGUAACUCCUUCAUUCUCAAUCUAAAUGGAUCAACCAAGUCUGCCUGUGAACUGAUACCAAACUUCUUUGGGUGAUUUACAUUUUUACUUUGCUUUCUAUGUUUAAAUUAAUGUUUAAAAAUUUGGGAGUAGUUCAUCCAACCAUAGUUCUUGCAUAUUCCAAAAAGACUUUCUCGAAACUUUAAACCAGGCCAAUAAAUCAUAUUUGUAAAUGAGCAAGGUAUUUGGAUCAUAUCCUAAGUCUAGACUUUAAACGUUAUUUUACGCAUUAAGUAUUCACUGAUUCCAAUGGUUUGAAUGUCUUAGGUGAUUUAUUUUUCGUUUUGAAGUU